ensembl:lncRNA
UCCCCAUGCCCCUCUCGUUAUAAAGCUGUGUUUCCGCGCUGUGAGUCCCUCCACACAGAACAGCCCAGAGGCGGCAGAGAGACGCACCAACACAUCUCACAUGAGAGAGCGCGCAUCUGUUCUGUCCGCGUGGCUACAUACAGCAGGUGACUGGCUGAGCAUUUACAGAUAAACAUAAGGUUACGUUGUGAAGAAAUGUGGCUGCAAAAAAAAGAGGAAGGAUCUGAGGAUAGUUAUGUCAAUGCUGAAGGAGGACAAGGCCUCAAAGGGAUUAACAAAAGUGAGGCGCGGUAUGAACAUCUCCCCUCCCCUCAACAACGCUCGAAGAAAGAUGGCUGUGACAACUCCAACUGUUUUUCCUCCUGUCUCCUUUUUCUUUCUUCUGUUAAACAGGCUCAAAUGUUAUGGUUCCAAAGAACAUCUGGAGGGCGGCCAUGCAACCAGGCCAACAGUUCCACUGAUGGCAAGAGCGCUGUUGGGUGCUUUUGAUGUUGACAUGUUGCUGAAAAGCAACCUGCGAGGUAUUUUCAUUAUUAAACAUCAAUGAACUACACGGAGGGAAAAGUACACUGUGCGUUCAGCACCACGGACAGAACUCUUGUUGACGAUUGUUGCUUUCCCCCUACAAAUGCUGUCAUUAAGCGCUUCCCGGGUGCAACAAAAGGACAAGUGGGAACGGCUUACAACUGUAAAAUGCCUGAAUUAAGAAGCAAUGAGAGAAACA